rnacentral:rRNA from 1 species
UGGGGGAUAUUGCACAAUGGGGGAAACCCUGAUGCAGCGACGCCGCGUGAGGGAAGACGGCCUUCGGGUUGUAAACCUCUGUCUUCAGGGACGAUAAUGACGGUACCUGAGGAGGAAGCCACGGCUAACUACGUGCCAGCAGCCGCGGUAAUACGUAGGUGGCGAGCGUUGUCCGGAUUUACUGGGUGUAAAGGGAGCGUAGACGGAUCUGCAAGUCUGGAGUGAAAGCCCGGGGCUCAACCCCGGGACUGCUUUGGAAACUGUGGAUCUGGAGUGCCGGAGAGGUAAGCGGAAUUCCUAGUGUAGCGGUGAAAUGCGUAGAUAUUAGGAGGAACACCAGUGGCGAAGGCGGCUUUCUGGACUGAAACUGACACUGAGGCACGAAAGUGUGGGGAGCAAACAGGAUUAGAUACCC